rnacentral:rRNA from 1 species
UGUGGAAGUUUUCGGAUGGAAGCAGAUAUGACUGAGCGGCGGACGGGUGAGUAACGCGUGGGUAACCUGCCUCAUACAGGGGGAUAACAGUUAGAAAUGACUGCUAAUACCGCAUAAGCGCACAGGACCGCAUGGUCUGGUGUGAAAAACUCCGGUGGUAUGAGAUGGACCCGCGUCUGAUUAGCUGGUUGGUGAGGUAACGGCCCACCAAGGCGACGAUCAGUAGCCGACCUGAGAGGGUGGCCGGCCACAUUGGGACUGAGACACGGCCCAAACUCCUACGGGAGGCAGCAGUGGGGAAUAUUGCACAAUGGGGGAAACCCUGAUGCAGCAACGCCGCGUGAGUGAAGAAGUAUUUCGGUAUGUAAAGCUCUAUCAGCAGGGAAGAGAAUGACGGUACCUGACUAAGAAGCCCCGGCUAACUACGUGCCAGCAGUCGCGGUAAUACGUAGGGGGCAAGCGUUAUCCGGAUUUACUGGGUGUAAAGGGAGCGUAGACGGCUGUACAAGUCUGAAGUGAAAGCCCGUGGCUCAACCGCGGAACUGCUUUGGAAACUGUAAAGCUGGAGUACUGGAGAGGCAGGCGGAAUUCCUAGUGUAGCGGUGAAAUGCGUAGAUAUUAGGAGGAACACCAGUGGCGAAGGCGGCCUGCUGGACAGAAACUGACGUUGAGGCUCGAAAGCGUGGGGAGCAAACAGGAUUAGAUACCCUGGUAGUCCACGCGGUAAACGAUGAAUGCUAGGUGUUGGUGGG